ACAAGUUAUUUUUAAUAGACGUAAAACAUUAUUCUAAACAAAAAAUUGUUUUACGGUAUGUCUCUAAAACGCACUGAUCUUUUUAUAAGUUCGUCUAAACUUCGAAACAUAAAGCCACCCGUAAGAAAAUUACAAAAUGGCGGCCCUAUAUUUUUUGAUUUUACACUGUUUUUAGAAAUUCUUUUGAUCAGAAUUGUCGAUACCCAUUUAGUUCUUGCUGCAGAACACCUGACAGAUACUUAUUUUCAUCGAGACUGAAAACGCCCUCCGGCACAUUUUAGACGGCUGACAAAAUUGGGUCGAUUUUGGGUCGUACUUUGUCAAAAAAAUUAAUUUUAUAAAAAAAUCUGUGCAUUUUAGAGGCAUACCGUAGAUCAAUUUUUUGCUUAGAAUAACGUUCUGCGUCGAAUUGGUCAAAAUUUCAAUCCCCCAUUUUACAAGUAAUUUGGCACUACAAA